rnacentral:rRNA from 1 species
UACGUAGGGGGCUAGCGUUGUCCGGAAUCAUUGGGCGUAAAGCGCGUGUAGGCGGCCCGGUAAGUCCGCUGUGAAAGUCGGGGGCUCAACCCUCGGAUGCCGGUGGAUACUGUCGGGCUAGAGUGCGGAAGAGGCGAGUGGAAUUCCUGGUGUAGCGGUGGAAUGCGCAGAUAUCAGGAGGAACACCAAUAGCGAAGGCAGCUCGCUGGGACGUUACUGACACUGAGGCGCGAAAGCGUGGGGAGCGAACAGG